rnacentral:lncRNA from 1 species
CUCUGCCAUAGGAGGGAAUCAUCAAGGAGAAGCCUUGUGUUUUCAUCAUGAGGCCUCAUUAAACACGAUAAGGUUGGAAUGUAGCCAGAUUUUUCCCCAUGGUUGGCCUUGGAAAUCAGUUUCUAACUCAGGGGGCAUCAAACGAGGUGGCUCUAAGGCGGCUGGGUGGGAAGAGUUUGUGCUGCUGAGGAAGAUGAAUUAGAAGAUCCACUCUUUUCGUUAGUACUGUGAGCAGACUACAUCUGGGUUCCUGUAAUGGAAGGAACAAAUACUGAGGCUUCCAGAAUGCUAAGUACCUUUUAGGUAAAAGGGGAUCUGCUUGAAAGUUGGACCUGGGUGGAGCCCUUUAUUGUGAGAAAUAUGAUCGACCUUCCUGGACAUGUUGAGACUUCAGUCAUUCCUAUAUCUUGAGAUGUUGACGGCACCAAGUGGGUGCUCGAUAUAGGUGAAUUAAAUGGAUAAACGAGUGAAUUAAACAAAUAACAAAAUGCAAGGUAACUCCUUUCAUUUCCUCAGUAAGGGGCUCUAUGUCUCAUCUCAUUCAUUUAUUAAUUCAUUUGCCAUACAGUGUUUGAGAACUUACGAUGUUCUAGGUUUUUU